rnacentral:tRNA from 1 species
AAAAUCCGUCGAUUUCUAAAAUCAUGAGGGUUCAAGUCCCUCUAUCCCC